CCCAGCUCGUCAUGUUAGAGCAAGUUUUCAAUGGGCUCCCCAACGACAAGGCAACGACGCUUUCGUAUGUCAUCCAUAUCAACUUUCAAUGCCAUUUACUGUGCCUACCAUGGUGACCACGGGUAAUGGGGGAAUCAGGGUUUGAUUCCUGAGAGGGAGCCUGAGAAAUGGCUACCACAUGCAAGGAAGGCAGCAGGCACGCAAAUGACCCACUCCCGACACGGGAAGGUAGUGACG
rnacentral:rRNA from 1 species